rnacentral:rRNA from 1 species
CUUAGUGGCGGACGGGUGAGUAACGCGUGGGUAACCUGCCUUACACAGGGGGAUAACACUUAGAAAUAGGUGCUAAUACCGCAUAAGCGCACAGUCCCGCAUGGGACAGAGUGAAAAACAUUAGUGGUGUAAGAUGGACCCGCGUCUGAUUAGCUUGUUGGCGGGGUAACGGCCCACCAAGGCGACGAUCAGUAGCCGGCCUGAGAGGGUGGACGGCCACAUUGGGACUGAGAUACGGCCCAGACUCCUACGGAAGGCAGCAG